UCAGCCCCUGGGGUAGUUCUGA
rnacentral:miRNA from 1 species